UACGUAGGGUGCGAGCGUUGUCCGGAAUUAUUGGGCGUAAAGGGCUCGUAGGCGGCCUGUUGCGUCUGCCGUGAAAGCCCGGGGCUUAACUCCGGGUCUUCGGUGGAUACGGGCAGGCUAGAGUUCGGUAGGGGAGACUGGAAUUCCUGGUGUAGCGGUGAAAUGCGCAGAUAUCAGGAGGAACACCGGUGGCGAAGGCGGGUCCCUGGGCCGACACUGACGCUGAGGAGCGGAAGCGUGGGGAGCGAACAGGAUUAGAUACCCUGGUAGUCCCUGAGCGGG
rnacentral:rRNA from 1 species